GUGAAAUUGUUGAAAGGGAAACGCUUGAAGUCAGUCACGUUGACUUGGAAUCAGCUCUGCUUUUGCUGGGUGUACUUUCUUGUCAAUGGGUCAGCACCAAUUUUGACCAUUGGAUAAAGUCAUUGGGAAUGUAGCAUCUUUAGAUGUGUUAUAGCCUGGUGAUGCAUACGGUGGUUGGGAUUGAGGAAUUCAGCACGCCACCAGGCCGGGUUUCGACCACGUUCGUGCUUAGGAUGCUGGCAUAAUGGCUUUAAUUGACCCGUCUUGAAACACGGACCAAGGAGUCUAACAUAUCUGCGAGUGUUUGGGUGGAAAACCCAUGUGCGUAAUGAAAGUGAAAGUUGAGAUCCCUUCUCAAGGGAGCAUCGACGCCCGGACCAGACCUUUUGUGACGGAUCCGCGGUAGAGCAUGUAUGUUGGGACCCGAAAGAUGGUGAACUAUGCCUGAAUAGGGUGAAGCCAGAGGAAACUCUGGUGGAGGCUCGUAGCGAUUCUGACGUGCAAAUCGAUCGUCAAAUUUGGGUAUAGGGGCGAAAGACUAAUCAAACCAUCUAGUAGCUGGUUCCUGCCGAAGUUUCCCUCAGGAUAGCAGAAACUCAUAUCAGAUUUAUGUGGUAAAG
rnacentral:rRNA from 1 species